rnacentral:rRNA from 1 species
GAUGAACGCUGGCGGCGUGCCUAAUACAUGCAAGUCGAGCGAACAGACGAGGAGCUUGCUCCUCUGACGUUAGCGGCGGACGGGUGAGUAACACGUGGAUAACCUACCUAUAAGACUGGGAUAACUUCGGGAAACCGGAGCUAAUACCGGAUAAUAUAUUGAACCGCAUGGUUCAAUAGUGAAAGACGGUUUUGCUGUCACUUAUAGAUGGAUCCGCGCCGCAUUAGCUAGUUGGUAAGGUAACGGCUUACCAAGGCAACGAUGCGUAGCCGACCUGAGAGGGUGAUCGGCCACACUGGAGCGGAGACACGGUCCAGGCUCCUACGGGAGGCAGCAGUAGGGAAUCUGCCGCAAUGGGCGAAAGCCUGACGGAGCAACGCCGCGUGAGUGAUGAAGGUCUUCGGAUCGUAAAACUCUGUUAUUAGGGAAGAACAAAUGUGUAAGUAACUAUGCACGUCUUGACGGUACCUAAUCAGAAAGCCACGGCUAACUACGUG